rnacentral:rRNA from 1 species
ACAUGUCUUCUAGAUUUGAACUAUUAGAAGUCCAGCCUGCCCAGUGAAUUUUUUAACGGCCGCGGUAGCCUGACCGUGCUAAGGUAGCGCAAUCAAUUGCCCUUUAAUUGUGGGCUAGUAUGAAUGGCUAGACAAGGGCUUUACUGUCUCAAAAACCUUAAUGAAAAUUGACCUUUAGGUGCAGAGGCCUAAAUCUUAGUGAAAGACAAGAAGACCCUAUCGAGCUUUAAUUUUUCCUGUUACUCUAUAACAAAAUAAAUUUUUAUUGGGGCAAUAAAGGAACAAAAAAAGCUUCCUUCUUCCUUCUAGUUAAACUAAAUUAAAACAGAAACAUUUUUAAUGCACCUAGGUAAAAGCUACCGUAGGGAUAACAGACUAAUUUUCCUUGAGAGUCCACAUUGACAGGAAAGUUUGGCACCUCGAUGUUGGCUUAAAAAACAGUUAUGACGCAGCAGUC